UACGUAGGGUGCAAGCGUUAAUCGGAAUUACUGGGCGUAAAGCGUGCGCAGGCGGUUUUGUAAGUUUGUCGUGAAAUCCCCGGGCUCAACCUGGGAAUGGCGAUGAAGACUGCAAGGCUAGAAUCUGGCAGAGGGGGGUAGAAUUCCACGUGUAGCAGUGAAAUGCGUAGAUAUGUGGAGGAACACCGAUGGCGAAGGCAGCCCCCUGGGCCAGCACUGACGCUCAUGCAC
rnacentral:rRNA from 1 species